rnacentral:rRNA from 1 species
UCGUAGACCCGAAACCAGGUGAUCUACCCAUGGUCAGGUUGAAGUUCAGGUAACACUGAAUGGAGGACCGAACCGACUUACGUUGAAAAGUGAGCGGAUGAACUGUGGGUAGCGGAGAAAUUCCAAUCGAACUUGGAGAUAGCUGGUUCUCUCCGAAAUAGCUUUAGGGCUAGCCUCAAGUGAUGAUUAUUGGAGGUAGAGCACUGUUUGGACGAGGGGCCCCUCUCGGGUUACCGAAUUCAGACAAACUCCGAAUGCCAAUUAAUUUAACUUGGGAGUCAGAACAUGGGUGAUAAGGUCCGUGUUCGAAAGGGAAACAGCCCAGACCACCAGCUAAGGUCCCAAAAUAUAUGUUAAGUGGAAAAGGAUGUGGCGUUGCCCAGACAACUAGGAUGUUGGCUUAGAAGCAGCCACCAUUUAAAGAGUGCGUAAUAGCUCACUAGUCGAGUGACACUGCGCCGAAAAUGUACCGGGGCUAAACAUAUUACCGAAGCUGUGGAUUGUCCGUAGGACAAUGGUAGGAGAGCGUUCUAAGGGCGUUGAAGCAUGAUCGCAAGGACAUGUGGAGCGCUUAGAAGUGAGAAUGCCGGUGUGAGUAGCGAAAGACGGGUGAGAAUCCCGUCCACCGAUUGACUAAGGUUUCCAGAGGAAGGCUCGUCCGCUCUGGGUUAGUCGGGUCCUAAGCUGAGGCCGACAGGCGUAGGCGAUGGAUAACAGGUUGAUAUUCCUGUACCACCUAGCAUCGUUUUAAUCGAUGGGGGGACGCAGUAGGAUAGGCGAAGCGUAUGAUUGGAUUGUACGUCUAAGCAGUGAGAUUGAGUGUUAGGCAAAUCCGGCACUCUUAAGAUUGAGCUGUGAUGGGGAGAGGAAAUUGUUUCCUCGAGUCGUUGAUUUCACACUGCCGAGAAAAGCCUCUAGAUAGAUAAUAGGUGCCCGUACCGCAAACCGACACAGGUAGUCAAGAUGAGAAUUCUAAGGUGAGCGAGCGAACUCUCGUUAAGGAACUCGGCAAAAUGACCCCGUAACUUCGGGAGAAGGGGUGCUCUUUAGGGUGCAAGCCCAGAAGAGCCGCAGUGAAUAGGCCCAAGCGACUGUUUAUCAAAAACACAGGUCUCUGCUAAACCGUAAGGUGAUGUAUAGGGGCUGACGCCUGCCCGGUGCUGGAAGGUUAAGAGGAGUGGUUAGCUUCUGCGAAGCUACGAAUCGAAGCCC